rnacentral:tRNA from 1 species
GCAGUCGUGGCCUACUGGUUAGGGCUUUGGGCUUGUACAACGAGGGUUGUCGGUUCGAUCCCCGACCAGUAGUA